rnacentral:rRNA from 1 species
UCCAGACUCCUACGGGAGGCAGCAGUGGGAGAUAUUGCACAAUGGGGGAAACCCUGAUGCAGCGACGCCGCGUGAGUGAAGAAGUAUUUCGGUAUGUAAAGCUCUAUCAGCAGGGAAGAAAAAAGACGGUACCUGACUAAGAAGCCCCGGCUAACUACGUGCCAGCAGCCGCGGUAAUACGUAGGGGGCAAGCGUUAUCCGGAUUUACUGGGUGUAAAGGGAGCGUAGACGGCAAUACAAGUCGGAAGUGAAAUACCCGGGCUCAACCUGGGAACUGCUUUGGAAACUGUAUGGCUGGAGUGCUGGAGAGGUAAGCGGAAUUCCUAGUGUAGCGGUGAAAUGCGUAGAUAUUAGGAGGAACACCAGUGGCGAAGGCGGCUUACUGGACAGUAACUGACGUUGAGGCUCGAAAGCGUGGGGAGCAAACAGGAUUAGAUACCCGGGUAUCA